UACGGAGGGUGCAAACGUUGCUCGGAAUCAUUGGGCGUAAAGCGCACGUAGGCGGUCCGGUAAGUUGGAUGUGAAAUCCCUCGGCUCAACCGAGGAAGGGCAUCCAAAACUGCCGGGCUUGAGUACGGAAGAGGGUCUCGGAAUUCCCGGUGUAGAGGUGAAAUUCGUAGAUAUCGGGAGGAACACCAGUGGCGAAGGCGGAGACCUGGGCCGAUACUGACGCUGAGGUGCGAAAGCGUGGGGAGCAAACAGG
rnacentral:rRNA from 1 species